GACGAACGCUGGCGGCGUGCUUAACACAUGCAAGUUGAACGGUCCGGCAUGGAAGCUUGCUGAAGUGUCGGGUAGUAGCGGACGGGUGAGUAAUGCAUGAGAAGCUGCCAUUGGGAGGGGGACAACAGUUGGAAACGGCUGCUAAUACCCCAUAUGCCGGAAGGUGAAACGGAGUGAUCCGCCCGAUGAGGUGCUCAUGUCCUAUCAGCUAGUUGGUGAGGUAACGGCUCACCAAGGCGACGACGGGUAGCCGGCCUGAGAGGGUGACCGGCCAGAGUGGAACUGAGAUACGGUCCAGACUCCUACGGGAGGCAGCAGUGGGGAAUAUUGGGCAAUGGGGGCAACCCUGACCCAGCGACGCCGCGUGAGGGAAGACGGCCUUCGGGUUGUAAACCUCUUUUGUACGGGAAGAAGGACGUGACGGUACCACACGAGGAAGUCCCGGCUAACUACGUGCCAGCCGCCGCCGUAA
rnacentral:rRNA from 1 species